rnacentral:rRNA from 1 species
CUACGUGCCAGCAGCCGCGGUAAUACGGAGGGUGCGAGCGUUAAUCGGAAUUACUGGGCGUAAAGCGAGCGCAGACGGUUACUUAAGCAGGAUGUGAAAUCCCCGGGCUCAACCUGGGAACUGCGUUCUGAACUGGGUGACUAGAGUGUGUCAGAGGGAGGUAGAAUUCCACGUGUAGCAGUGAAAUGCGUAGAGAUGUGGAGGAAUACCGAUGGCGAAGGCAGCCUCCUGGGAUAACACUGACGUUCAUGCUCGAAAGCGUGGGUAGCAAACAGGAUUAGAUACCCUGGUAGUCCACGCCCUAAACGAUGUCAAUUAGCUGUUGGGCAACUUGAUUGCUUAGUAGCGUAGCUAACGCGUGAAAUUGACCGCCUGGGGAGUACGGUCGCAAGAUUAAAACUCAAAGGAAUUGACGGGGACCCGCACAAGCGGUGGAUGAUGUGGAUUAAUUCGAUGCAACGCGAAGAACCUUACCUGG